UUAAAUGGAUUGAGUCUAUAGCC
rnacentral:piRNA from 1 species